GUGCGUGUUUUUUGUGGCCGGAGAAAAUAGUGUCGGGUCGGGGUCGCCCUCUACGCAGCGGCGGCGGAGGAGGCGGCGGCAGCGGCGGCGGCGGAGAGACGUGGGUCCAUGCGGCAGCAGCAGCAGUAGAGCGGGCAGGUUCGUACACGACCGUCCGGGGGUUGCGGCAGAUAGGGCAGAACCUUCGACCCGACGGGACCUCUGCUGGCUCCUGUGGAAAGAAACCAGACAAGAAGAGAGCGGAGGGGGUAAAAGCCAGAGAGAAGGACGAGAGACACUGACAGACAAGAGAGAGAGAGAGAGAGAGAGAUAGAGAGAGCGCGAGAACAGCUUGGGUCUGACGGAGGGGGAGCCGGAGUGCAGUGAGUCGAAGCUGCCACUGGGGUCAGAGAGCAGGAGCAAGCACAACCCCCCGCCACCUCCCGUGCGCGUGCCCUUACCGGCGGGCACACGCAAGAGGCAGGAGAAGUGGAGGGGAGGGCGGGGAAGGAGGAGGGUGCUCGCGCAGUCCCGCUCUAUGCUGCAUUCACUUACUUUCGGAAAUGUUGGCCAUGAAGAAAGCUGUGGACUGGAAGGUUUGCUUUUGGAUAUCAGGCAUGGUCUAAUAAGAAGUUGGAGCCGUAUGACUUUGAUGUCAUCCAAGAGGAGGAAACGGAGUGUUUAGAGCAGCCAGAAGCCUUAGAGUUUGGCUCACGGGGCUUUCUUGUACAUACCUCAAUUAUUUGAAUCUGUGGCCAUGUUUAUUAUGAACACUCACCAUUCAUUGCAAGUAAGGAAAAGCAUAAUAGGUCAUGUUGAAUGGAGCAGAAUGUAAUGGAGUUUUGAGAUCAUCAAGUUGUGUUUCUGUUGUGGCUGCAUCAUUAAAAGUGCAUUGUGUCUGAAAGC
ensembl:lncRNA